UUUACCCGGAACACUUGACUGAAGCUGAACAAAUAUAUUUUUUUUUUCAUCAUUUAAGAAAAGUGCUAAUAUAGAAAAGUACAAAAUGGCUUCUCUUAAAAUACAAAUUGACGACAAUACCAAACGACAUGAAGACGAUCAUACAGAUGGACACAAGAAGAUGGAAACUGCAAUUAACCUUUCGUGGAAGCAGUUGUUCGCUAUGUGUAUUCUGAUGCACGUGAUACGUAAAGGCAUGAUAUUUUUGGUGACGUUUGGCUUAGGUUUCACUGUAGCUUACCUAACAAUUUGUGGAGGCUUCAGCUGUAAGCAAUUCCAAUCACACAACUCGCCAACACUGGAUCAACAGAUAUCAAACAUAACAAAGACGCUUGGUGAAAUUCAGAUGAAGUCAGCUGAUAGCAGGCGAGUUUCAAUAACAAUGUGCUUACAAGGAUACCACACAGUUUCCGAGAAUAAAGGUCUCCAGUUUUCAGACGUUCGGGCGAUACCAGGAAUUGCUGAAAAUCAUGGCGUAUACGUUUUUAACUACACAGGACUAUACCUCAUAACAGUUACCAUAGUUUCUGACUCGUAUGAUGCGCAGUUCAUGUUUUGUUUAAAAAUUCUGAUCUCAAAAUGAAAGGAUUGGUUUCCAAACAUCCCCAGCAACAAUCUAACUCAAGUGACUUUGAACACGGCGUCACAAUCGUUGUUGCACUCAAAAUUGACAGAGAUGAUAGUCUUAGAAUUGUAGCGGAAAAGACAAUGACGAUGAGCCCUUACGGUACUUGUCUUACAAUUGUAAAACUAAUGUAAAUUGUAAAAUACGUUGAUAAUAUUCGACCAAAAAUGUAUUCUUUUGAUUAAUAAAAUAAUCACCAGA